GGGCUGAUGGUCCAAAGGGACGACACUGCUCUGGCGGGGCAGAAAUCUGGGUUCGAUUCCCAGUCGGUCCAC
rnacentral:tRNA from 1 species